rnacentral:rRNA from 1 species
UACGAGGGGGGCUAGCGUUGUUCGGAUUUACUGGGCGUAAAGCGCACGUAGGCGGGUUGUUAAGUCAGGGGUGAAAUCCUGGAGCUCAACUCCAGAACUGCCUUUGAUACUGGCAACCUAGAGGCUGGAAGAGGUUAGUGGAAUUCCCAGUGUAGAGGUGAAAUUCGUAGAUAUUGGGAAGAACACCAGUGGCGAAGGCGGCUAACUGGUCCAGAUCUGACGCUGAGGUGCGAAAGCGUGGGGAGCAAACAGG